rnacentral:tRNA from 1 species
AUUGGAAUUAAUAUAAGUUAAAAAAAUGGCUUUAGGAGACUCCAAAUCCAGGUGUUGAGGGUUCAAGUCCUUCUUCCCGUGCCA